rnacentral:rRNA from 1 species
GACGAACCGUCCUAACGUUGUUCGGAAUCACUGGGCUUAAAGGGCGCGUAGGCGGGUCUCCAAGUCGGUGGUGAAAUCUUUCAGCUCAACUGGAAAAGUGCCGCCGAUACUGGGGGGUCUCGAGGGAGGUAGGGGGUCGAUGGAACUAAUGGUGGAGCGGUGAAAUGCGUAGAUAUCAUUAGGAACGCCGGUGGCGAAAGCGAUCGACUGGACCUCUUCUGACGCUGAGGCGCGAAAGCCAGGGGAGCAAACGGG